UAUCCACAGUUAGUGCAAAUUACCACAAGAGGGGAACCAGGGGAGACAAAUAUCAUGAAAAGCAAAAAAGAAGAGAAUAUCAAGGAGUAGAGGGUGAUUAACAGUGUCAAAGGCUAAAGAGAGGUCAAGAAGGAUGAGGAUUUACAAGAGGUCAUUGAAUUUGAAGAUUAAGAGUAAUAUUGGAGAGAACAGUUUGGGUUUAAUGAUAAGUGCCCAUUUCCUGAAAUUGGAGCAUGCUUUUCCCUUAAAAAAAAAAUUUGUGAAAGGAGAUGUAAGAUGUGACCUUCAGGAUAAGAAAACUACUCUGUUAAAAAAAUGUGAUUAUAUAAAAGGGGACAGCAGGAGACCCUCGAUUCCAUUCAUCUAAGAAAAGGAUAAAAAAAAUCAAGAAAAACGCUAAAAGUAGAUUUUAAUUCUAAGUGGGAU